AGUGAACGCUGGCGGUAGGCCUAACACAUGCAAGUCGAACGGCAGCACAGUAAGAGCUUGCUCUUACGGGUGGCGAGUGGCGGACGGGUGAGGAAUACAUCGGAAUCUACUUUUUCGUGGGGGAUAACGUAGGGAAACUUACGCUAAUACCGCAUACGACCUACGGGUGAAAGCAGGGGAUCUUCGGACCUUGCGCGAUUGAAUGAGCCGAUGUCGGAUUAGCUAGUUGGCGGGGUAAAGGCCCACCAAGGCGACGAUCCGUAGCUGGUCUGAGAGGAUGAGCAGCCACACUGGAACUGAGACACGGUCCAGAAUCCGACGGGAGGCAGCAGUGGGGAAUAUUGGACAAUGGGCGCAAGCCUGAUCCAGCCAUACCGCGUGGGUGAAGAAGGCCGUCGGGUUGUAAAGCCCUUUUGUUGGGAAAGAAAAGCAGCAGGUUAAUACCCCGCUGUUCUGACGGUACCCAAAGAACAAGCACCGGCUAACUUCGU
rnacentral:rRNA from 1 species